AGUGAACGCUGGCGGUAGGCCUAACACAUGCAGGUCGAACGGCAGCACAGUAAGAGCUUGCUCUUACGGGUGGCGAGUGGCGGACGGGUGGGGAAUACAUCGGAAUCUACUUUUUCGUGGGGGAUAACGUAGGGAAACUUACGCUAAUACCGCAUACGACCUACGGGUGAAAGCAGGGGAUCUUCGGACCUUGCGCGAUUGAAUGAGCCGAUGUCGGAUUAGCUAGUUGGCGGGGUAAAGGCCCACCAAGGCGACGAUCCGUAGCUGGUCUGAGAGGAUGAUCAGCCACACUGGAACUGAGACACGGUCCAGACUCCUACGGGAGGCAGCAGUGGGGAAUAUUGGACAAAGGGCGCAAGCCUGAUCCAGCCAUACCGCGUGGGUGAAGAAGGCCUUCGGGUUGUAAAGCCCUUUUGUUGGGAAAGAAAAGCAGCAGGUUAAUACCCCGCUGUUCUGACGGUACCCAAAGAAUAAGCACCGGCUAACUUCGUG
rnacentral:rRNA from 1 species